ACGAGUCGCUUGCCUGUCUAGUUUCCUCUUCUUUCUUCUCGUUUCUGUUCUGCUUCGCUGGUUAGCGUGAAGUCUCCGAAGACGUUGUACCCGUCGGAUCGAAAGUCGCGUGAGUGAUGGCAUUUGAGUGAAAGAUACAAUACAGGGAAGAUAAAAAAAGGUUUUGGCUUGUUGGCGAUUAGGGUUUUGGAGGGUUUUGUAAGCUGUUCGUUGCUGGAGGGCCCGAUCACGGAAAUGUCGUCCGAUAUACGCAAAUGGUU